GUGGGGGGUGGGGGGACAUGCCCCCCCUCUCCAUCCCCAGUGAAGGUUACUCCCCUGUCCUUAAGUAUCCAGUACAAUGAUUUGCCAAGAGAUGGAGUAUCUGCUAAGAGACUAACAAUUCCCCUGAGAAAAGGCACCGAAUCGGUGUGCAGUAAAGUCCAGAACUCCCCAUCCGGUGCACCUGGUGACCAUUAUGACUAUGGUUCAGUGGAGUACGCCUAUCUCAACGGUGACCAAACCGGAGGUCAACCAGGACAUGCUGGAGGUCAAUCACCAGGACCACCAUGACCUGGAGUAAAGGUUACCUCUGAUCCCUCGCGACCCCUCACACUAGGACCACAAACUAAAUUCUCCCCACCUCUGCCCCCGACCUUAACCACAGUCCUUAUUUUCAUAUUGUUCUUGUAUUCUGUACCUUUUCCCUACAAGGAAAAUUGUUGACUCAUGUAAGCUGUAGAUAUUUUGCAUAAUUUUAUAGCCAAGUAAAAUCACAAAUCCUAAUUAGGACUUGCUGUAUAGUUCUAUCAUACCUUGUAGACUCUUAUCUUUGUUUACCUUUUCAUCGUGUCUCAUAACCAUAGAGGUUGGUACAGAGUUCAGUUAGCCUGGCCCCUCCCUCCAACGCAGUUCUCUUUGAUCUCCUAAAUGGACAGCAUGACAGUUAUGCUACGUCAUGAUGGCUAAAAAAAUCCCCCUUUCAGACUUCCGUUGCAGGGCAGUGUGAGUGGGCUGAUAACCUCCCUACUGUCACUAGACUGGGUCCACACCCAAACCAGGGCACACUCCUGUAGGGCCAUCCCUGAAUCACACUAUGGCAAUAACUAUGGGGGAAAAAGAGUGAAUGUAAACAGAGGAUCUGCCUGUCACCAGCUGCUCAGCCUGAUGGUAUAUGGUGUUUGUGAUGUCACAUCCUGACAGGCUGUGUCCAAGUGUGUCGAAAGUUGGAGGGAGAACAGUGUCAGGCCUGAAGUGACUCAGACAUACAGAAUUGUACAUGGUUAUAAAUUACCUUCUUACUGCAGUUACUGUUUUUCUAACACACAAAAUUAUCCAAGUAAAGUCAAGGUAAUGUUAUGAAAAAAUAUUUAAAAAUCUAUCUUUCUAAACUUUGAGUAUCGUAUGUUACGUUAUUACGGUGUGUUAUGCAAUACGUUAUAGUAAUAGAGAAUGGUUACAAUCGUCCUGUAAAUUACAACACCAUUGUAAGGGCUCCCGAAUGGCGCAGCAGU